UCCAGACUCCUACGGGAGGCAGCAGUAAGGGAUAUUGGUCAAUGGGGGAAACCCUGAACCAGCAACGCCGCGUGAGGGAAGACGGUUUUCGGAUUGUAAACCUCUGUCCUCUGUGAAGAUGAUGACGGUAGCAGAGGAGGAAGCUCCGGCUAACUACGUGCCAGCAGCCGCGGUAAUACGUAGGGAGCGAGCGUUAUCCGGAUUCAUUGGGUUUAAAGGGUGCGCAGGCGGGCCUUUAAGCCGGCGGGGAAACCCGGGGGCCCCACCCCCGCCGAGCCGUCGGAACUGGGGGCCUUGAGUGCGGCGGAGGCAUGCGGAAUGCGCGGUGUAGCGGUGAAAUGCAUAGAUAUCGCGCAGAACCCCGAUUGCGAAGGCAGCGUGCCGUGCCGCCACUGACGCUGAGGCACGAAAGCGCGGGGAUCGAACAGGAUUAGAUACCCCAGUA
rnacentral:rRNA from 1 species